GAUUAGAUACCCUAUUAUUAAAAAUGUAAAUUUAAAUGCUAGAGUAGUAAUAGUUAUGUUCUUGAAAUUCAAAAAAUCUGGCGGUAUUUUAGUCUAUUCAGAGGAACCUGUCCUGUAAUUGAUAUUCCACGAUUUAUCAUACUUAUUUUUAGUUUGUAUAUCGUCGUAGUUUGAAUGUUUUUAAAAAAAUUGAAAUAUUCAAAAUUUAAUUGUUUAAAAAAAAUCAGAUCAAGAUACAGCGUAUAAAUAAGAAGAGAUGGGUUACAAUAAAUUUAUUUAUAUGGUUAAAAUAGUUAAAAUUAUUUUAUAAAGUGGAUUUGAUAGUAAUAAAAUUUAAAUAAAUUUUAUGAUUUUAGCUCUAAAAUAUGUACAUAUCGCCCGUCGCUCCUUCCUUAAAGAUGGAUAAGUC
rnacentral:rRNA from 1 species